rnacentral:rRNA from 1 species
AGCAUAUCAAUAAGCGGAGGAAAAGAAACUAACAAGGAUUCCCCUAGUAACUGCGAGUGAAGAGGGAAAAGCUCAAAUUUAAAAUCUGGCAGCUUCGCUGUCCGAGUUGUAAUUUAGAGAAGUGUUACCCUUGCUGGACCGUGUACAAGUUUCCUGGAACGGAACGUCAUAGAGGGUGAGAAUCCCGUCUUUGACACGGACUCCCAGUAUUUUGUGGUGCGCUCUCGAAGAGUCGUGUUGUUUGGGAAUGCAGCACUAAAUGGGUGGUAAAUUCCAUCUAAAGCUAAAUAUUGGCGAGAGACCGAUAGCAAACAAGUACCGUGAGGGAAAGAUGAAAAGAACUUUGGAAAGAGAGUUAAACAGUACGUGAAAUUGUUGAAAGGGAAACGCUUGAAGUCUAGUCGCGUCGGUUGGGAAUCAGUCUUGCUUCUGCUUGAUGUACUUUCUGAUCGACGGGUCAGCAUCAGUUUUGACCGUUGGACAAAGGUUGGAGGAAUGUGGCAUCCUCGGAUGUGUUAUAGCCUCUGAUUGUAUACAACGGUUGGGACUGAGGAACUCAGCACGCCGCAAGGCCGGGUACUUGUACCACGUUCGUGCUUAGGAUGCUGGCAUAAUAGCUUUAAUCGACCCGUCUUGAAACACGGACCAAGGAGUCUAACAUGCCUGCGAGUGUUUGGGUGGAAAACCCGAGCGCGCAAUGAAAGUGAAAGUUGAGAACUCAUCAGAGUGCAUCGACGCCCGGACCAGACGUUUUCUGACGGCUCCGCGGUAGAGCAUGUAUGUUGGGACCCGAAAGAUGGUGAACUAUGCCUGAAUAGGGUGAAGCCAGAGGAAACUCUGGUGGAGGCUCGUAGCGAUUCUGACGUGCAAAUCGAUCGUCGAAUUUGGGUAUAUGGGCGAAAGACUAAUCGAACCAUCUAGUAGCUGGUUCCUGCCGA